CCACCAUUUUCCUGCUGUCAAGAACAGGGGGCAGUUACUGUAUCAAUAAUCCAAGCUCUUGAAUCCGCACAAAACAGUUAUACAAGUGGUGAUCCCUGAUUGUUCCAACAAUAACAGUUAUUUGUUGACUUAGAUUAAGUCUUCAUUGUAGUCUUGUCCAUCGAGAAUGAAAGUGCACGAGUUCCGUAUGCAUUAAUUGCAUGUUUGCUUAAGAAUCCCAUCUAUUGAAUUAUUAAUGCCAUUAAUAAAACCACUAACUUUGUGCAUCGAGACACAUUCCUUAGUCUCAGAUUCUUAACUGUUAGAAAAAAUUGAAUUAGUUAGAAAAUGCUGUACAAGGAAUCAAGUAAAUUAUCAUUUAUUCCUAAAGAAUUGAUAAAUUUAGCAAAUUUACACUACAUAGACAAGCAUCAAACUUAAACAUCAAAUGACGAAAUUUUUUUGUAUCAAAAUUUUACAGCUAUAAAAAGAACGCGAGCAUAAAGUCAAUUAGAACAACUAAUCUAAUAAUUUCAUACCCAAACGAAAAACAAAUUAAUAAGACCACGAAGCCAGGAUUAAAUCUAAAUUAAUCUUAGCAACUACUUAGAGUCCCAGUCUUGAUCCCAUACAGAACUACCCACCUAAAUCACUCGUGAAAUAAUCCCAAUUCACGAAAUCCGAUCAACAAUCCACCAAAAAAUAAGGAAAAAUCCCAUUAAACUAAGACGCUGCAGAUAAUAAAUGAAUCGAUAUGAAAACAUAACAGAAAAUAAAGGGAAAAAGAAAACUAACCGUGUCUUCGGAUUUAACUUCGACUUCGAAGUGGGUACCUUUGAGAGUCUUCACGAAAAUCUUCAUUUUUUUUUAAUUGAAAUUCUUAUUUAUUUUUUCUGGAGUGCAGAACUGGAUCGGUGAGAGAGAAUUGAAUGAAGAAGAAAGAUACAGAAAACCCAGAAAAAUUAAUUAAUGGUGUCUUUUCCGGCACGACAUUAAUUAUUAUUUUUUAUUUUUUUAAAACUUAUUUUCUAGGAAAAUUUUCAACUUUCAUCCCCAAACUUUUCAAAAUAUUACUAAUC
rnacentral:lncRNA from 1 species